rnacentral:rRNA from 1 species
UUAAGCGACUAAGCGUACACGGUGGAUGCCCUGGCAGUCAGAGGCGAUGAAGGACGUGCUAAUCUGCGAUAAGCGUCGGUAAGGUGAUAUGAACCGUUAUAACCGGCGAUUUCCGAAUGGGGAAACCCAGUGUGUUUCGACACACUAUCAUUAACUGAAUCCAUAGGUUAAUGAGGCGAACCGGGGGAACUGAAACAUCUAAGUACCCCGAGGAAAAGAAAUCAACCGAGAUUCCCCCAGUAGCGGCGAGCGAACGGGGAGCAGCCCAGAGCCUGAAUCAGUGUGUGUGUUAGUGGAAGCGUCUGGAAAGGCGCGCGAUACAGGGUGACAGCCCCGUACACAAAAAUGCACAUGCUGUGAGCUCGAUGAGUAGGGCGGGACACGUGGUAUCCUGUCUGAAUAUGGGGGGACCAUCCUCCAAGGCUAAAUACUCCUGACUGACCGAUAGUGAACCAGUACCGUGAGGGAAAGGCGAAAAGAACCCCGGCGAGGGGAGUGAAAAAGAACCUGAAACCGUGUACGUACAAGCAGUGGGAGCACAGAGCAAUCUGUGUGACUGCGUACCUUUUGUAUAAUGGGUCAGCGACUUAUAUUCUGUAGCAAGGUUAACCGAAUAGGGGAGCCGAAGGGAAACCGAGUCUUAACUGGGCGUUAAGUUGCAGGGUAUAGACCCGAAACCCGGUGAUCUAGCCAUGGGCAGGUUGAAGGUUGGGUAACACUAACUGGAGGACCGAACCGACUAAUGUUGAAAAAUUAGCGGAUGACUUGUGGCUGGGGGUGAAAGGCCAAUCAAACCGGGAGAUAGCUGGUUCUCCCCGAAAGCUAUUUAGGUAGCGCCUCGUGAAUUCAUCUCCGGGGGUAGAGCACUGUUUCGGCAAGGGGGUCAUCCCGACUUACCAACCCGAUGCAAACUGCGAAUACCGGAGAAUGUUAUCACGGGAGACACACGGCGGGUGCUAACGUCCGUCGUGAAGAGGGAAACAACCCAGACCGCCAGCUAAGGUCCCAAAGUCAUGGUUAAGUGGGAAACGAUGUGGGAAGGCCCAGACAGCCAGGAUGUUGGCUUAGAAGCAGCCAUCAUUUAAAGAAAGCGUAAUAGCUCACUGGUCGAGUCGGCCUGCGCGGAAGAUGUAACGGGGCUAAACCAUGCACCGAAGCUGCGGCAGCGACACUAUGUGUUGUUGGGUAGGGGAGCGUUCUGUAAGCCUGUGAAGGUGUACUGUGAGGUAUGCUGGAGGUAUCAGAAGUGCGAAUGCUGACAUAAGUAACGAUAAAGCGGGUGAAAAGCCCGCUCGCCGGAAGACCAAGGGUUCCUGUCCAACGUUAAUCGGGGCAGGGUGAGUCGACCCCUAAGGCGAGGCCGAAAGGCGUAGUCGAUGGGAAACAGGUUAAUAUUCCUGUACUUGGUGUUACUGCGAAGGGGGGACGGAGAAGGCUAUGUUGGCCGGGCGACGGUUGUCCCGGUUUAAGCGUGUAGGCUGGUUUUCCAGGCAAAUCCGGAAAAUCAAGGCUGAGGCGUGAUGACGAGGCACUACGGUGCUGAAGCAACAAAUGCCCUGCUUCCAGGAAAAGCCUCUAAGCAUCAGGUAACAUCAAAUCGUACCCCAAACCGACACAGGUGGUCAGGUAGAGAAUACCAAGGCGCUUGAGAGAACUCGGGUGAAGGAACUAGGCAAAAUGGUGCCGUAACUUCGGGAGAAGGCACGCUGAUAUGUAGGUGAAGUCCCUCGCGGAUGGAGCUGAAAUCAGUCGAAGAUACCAGCUGGCUGCAACUGUUUAUUAAAAACACAGCACUGUGCAAACACGAAAGUGGACGUAUACGGUGUGACGCCUGCCCGGUGCCGGAAGGUUAAUUGAUGGGGUUAGCGCAAGCGAAGCUCUUGAUCGAAGCCCCGGUAAACGGCGGCCGUAACUAUAACGGUCCUAAGGUAGCGAAAUUCCUUGUCGGGUAAGUUCCGACCUGCACGAAUGGCGUAAUGAUGGCCAGGCUGUCUCCACCCGAGACUCAGUGAAAUUGAACUCGCUGUGAAGAUGCAGUGUACCCGCGGCAAGACGGAAAGACCCCGUGAACCUUUACUAUAGCUUGACACUGAACAUUGAGCCUUGAUGUGUAGGAUAGGUGGGAGGCUUUGAAGUGUGGACGCCAGUCUGCAUGGAGCCGACCUUGAAAUACCACCCUUUAAUGUUUGAUGUUCUAACGUUGACCCGUGAUCCGGGUUGCGGACAGUGUCUGGUGGGUAGUUUGACUGGGGCGGUCUCCUCCUAAAGAGUAACGGAGGAGCACGAAGGUUGGCUAAUCCUGGUCGGACAUCAGGAGGUUAGUGCAAUGGCAUAAGCCAGCUUGACUGCGAGCGUGACGGCGCGAGCAGGUGCGAAAGCAGGUCAUAGUGAUCCGGUGGUUCUGAAUGGAAGGGCCAUCGCUCAACGGAUAAAAGGUACUCCGGGGAUAACAGGCUGAUACCGCCCAAGAGUUCAUAUCGACGGCGGUGUUUGGCACCUCGAUGUCGGCUCAUCACAUCCUGGGGCUGAAGUAGGUCCCAAGGGUAUGGCUGUUCGCCAUUUAAAGUGGUACGCGAGCUGGGUUUAGAACGUCGUGAGACAGUUCGGUCCCUAUCUGCCGUGGGCGCUGGAGAAUUGAGGGGGGCUGCUCCUAGUACGAGAGGACCGGAGUGGACGCAUCACUGGUGUUCGGGUUGUCAUGCCAAUGGCACUGCCCGGUAGCUAAAUGCGGAAGAGAUAAGUGCUGAAAGCAUCUAAGCACGAAACUUGCCCCGAGAUGAGUUCUCCCUGACUCCUUGAGAGUCCUGAAGGAACGUUGAAGACGACGACGUUGAUAGGCCGGGUGUGUAAGCGCAGCGAUGCGUUGAGCUAACCGGUACUAAUGAACCGUGAGGCUUAACCU